rnacentral:rRNA from 1 species
AUACGUAGGGGGCGAGCGUUGUCCGGAAUGAUUGGGCGUAAAGGGCGCGUAGGCGGCCCGGUAAGUCUGGAGUGAAAGUCCUGUUUUUAAGAUGGGAAUUGCUUUGGAUACUGUCGGGCUUGAGUGCAGGAGAGGUAAGUGGAAUUCCCAGUGUAGCGGUGAAAUGCGUAGAGAUUGGGAGGAACACCAGUGGCGAAGGCGGGUAACUGGACUGCAACUGACGCUGAGGCGCGAAAGUGUGGGGAGCAAACAGGAUUAGAUACCCUGGUAGUCCACACUGUAAACGAUGAUUACUAGGUGUGGGGGGACUGACCCCUUCCGUGCCGGAGUUAACACAAUAAGUAAUCCACCUGGGGAGUACGGCCGCAAGGUUGAAACUCAAAUGAAUUGGCGGGG